GACGAACGCUGGCGGCGCGCUUAACACAUGCAAGUCGAGCGAAGCGGCGGACGGGUGAGUAACACGUGAGUAACCUGCCUUAGACCUUGGGAUAGCCUCGGGAAACCGGGAUUAAUACCAAAUGGUCUAAGAUGGACUCGCGUCCCAUUAACUAGUUGGUGAGGUAACGGACCACCAAAGCGACGAUGGGUAACCGGCCUGAGAGGGUGAACGGCCACAUUGGAACUGAGAACCGGUCCAAACUCUACGGGAGGCAGGAGGGGGGAAUAUUGCACAAUGGAGGGAACUCUGAUGCAGCGACGCCGCUUGAACGAAGAAGGCUUUCGAGUAGUAAAGUUCUUUUAUAUGGGAAGCGGUACCAUAAGAAAAAGCCCCGGCUAACUACGUGCCAGCAGCCGCGGUAAUAC
rnacentral:rRNA from 1 species